GCCUCAUUAGCUCAGGGGUGAGAGCACUGGUCUUGUAAACCAGGAGUCCGGAGUUCAAAUCUCUGAUGAGGCU